rnacentral:rRNA from 1 species
GAUGAACGCUGACAGAAUGCUUAACACAUGCAAGUCAACUUGAACUUCGGUUUGGGUGGCGGACGGGUGAGUAACGCGUAAAGAACUUGCCUCACAGUUAGGGACAACAUUUGGAAACGAAUGCUAAUACCUGAUAUUAUGAUUUUAGGGCAUCCUAGAAUUAUGAAAGCUAUAUGCGCUGUGAGAGAGCUUUGCGUCCCAUUAGCUAGUUGGAGAGGUAACGGCUCACCAAGGCGAUGAUGGGUAGCCGGCCUGAGAGGGUGAACGGCCACAAGGGGACUGAGACACGGCCCUUACCCCUACGGGAGGCAGCAGUGGGGAAUAUUGGACAAUGGACCAAGAGUCUGAUCCAGCAAUUCUGUGUGCACGAUGAAGUUUUUCGGAAUGUAAAGUGCUUUCAGUUGGGAAGAAAAAAAUGACGGUACCAACAGAAGAAGUGACGGCUAAAUACGUGCCAGCAGCCGCGGUAAUACGUAUGUCACAAGCGUUAUCCGGAUUUAUUGGGCGUAAAGCGCGUCUAGGUGGUUAUAUAAGUCUGAUGUGAAAAUGCAGGGCUCAACUCUGUAUUGCGUUGGAAACUGUGUAACUAGAGUACUGGAGAGGUAAGCGGAACUACAAGUGUAGGGGUGAAAUUCGUAGAUAUUUGUAUGAAUGCCGAUGGGGAAGCCAGCUCACUGGACAGAUACUGACGCUGAAGCGCGAAAGCGUGGGUAGCAAACAGG